rnacentral:misc_RNA from 1 species
AAGAAGAUGGCUGACCAUUCCGCUUCCUCGGCCGCGUCGCAGGGGGCUGCGAGCGCCUCUCAGCACCAGCGCAUCCUCUUGCAAAAGCAGCUUACCGAGGUGCGCAUGGAAAACACUAUCCUGCGCCAACAGCUGUACCAAGUGAGCACUCUGCUCGACAUCGCCGUGAGCAAGCUGGGUACUAUGGGUGUGUCGCUCGAGACACCCAUCGACAUCCGCGCACUGCGCACGGAGGCGUUGCAACGGGCACAUGCUGAGACGGCCCAGGCCCAAUACAACGCAAUCGGAGCCUCACCAGAGAGUGGCAAAUCCCCUGCGCAGCAUCACAGCAAGAAAUUCCAGAUGCGCCAGCAGCUGCGGGAGCACACAAGAGCGGUGCAGUGCUGCGCCUUUUCCGACAGCGAGGAUCUCCUCAUCGCCACUGGCGGCAUGGACUGCCGCCUAAUCGUGCAGAACUACUUAAGCGGGGCGAAGCUGUGGGAUGCCACGGCGCACGAGGAGGCGGUGAGCGACGUCGCGUGGAUGAAUCACAACUGCCUGCUCUCCGCGUCGUACGACAACACGGUGAAGCUGUGGGAUGUGAACGGCGGAACGACGAACAAGGACGUGCUGUACCAGUACACUACCCAUGGUUUUGUGCUCUCUGCCAUUCCGCUAGGACCGUCGCUGUUCGCUUGCGCCGACUCGCGACACAAGACGGCCAUCGUUGACGUCCGUGUCGGCGGAAAGGGUAUGGUGCAGGAACACGACUACCGCAUCAACUCACUGAGCUAUGACGAGGCCGCUCAGCAGCUGCUGAUGGGGCAGAGCAACGGCGUUGUGUCAAUUUGGGAUAUGCGGCGGCCUGAUCAGGUUCUGUCCACCGCCAACAGCAGCAUCGGUGGCAUUUUGCCAGGUUCGUCUUCACCACCGCCGCCGCCGCUGCCGCCUCAGCAGCAUCAGCAUCAGCGAUGUGGCUCCAUAAACGACAUGAACGGCGCUGUAGAAGGGGACGCCGCACCCAUGACGACGCUGGAGGACGGCGCUGCGGGCGGCAGCAACAUUCCCGGAUCAAACAGCGGUCUCAUGGCAAGCGGCAGCGCCAACAGCGUCGGCGGCCCACCCCGCUUCACCCGCGCCACGGAGAUCGAGAAUGAGCCGUCGCGCUCGCCCAUCUCCUUUAUUGCCCACUUUCACAGCGACGAUGACACGUGUCGGCUUCUGUGUGUCUCGGGCGACAACAUGGUGCGGCUUUAUCGCGGCAACUUCAGCGCUUUCACCGGCGGCGGUCGCAAGGACGGCAUCGGCCUUUAUGUUUUGCGCAACGUCCUCGCAGGCGUGCCGACGCGCGGCAACGUUAUGCGUUGCGGUUUCUGGAAGGGAGAGCGUGAUAAGACGGAGAUGUCGGUCUUCUUUGACGAUGGCGAAAUGGACGGCGUGUCUCGGCCGCCGCGGCGCUUGACAGAGUGCGACUUGCUCGUCACAGGCGGGCCCGACAACACCGCGCAGGUGUGUGACGUUACCGAUGAUGGCGGUGCGGUGGUGCUGGAGCGGCUGGAGGGUCAUCGCGACCGCGUAACCGGAGCAACGGUGCGCCGCUCCCGCAAACCGAUCAUCGCCACGAUGAGCGCAGACUCCACGGUGCGCAUUUGGAUGCCUGUCAAGUCCUGAUGUGAGGCAUGUGACAGUCGUGGGGAGGAUUGCCGUGGGCGGCAGCCCGUCUUUGGGACGGGCUUACGCUGCAUCUCUGCUUGUGUGCUUUCGUUUACGCGCCUCUGUGUGUGGGCGUGCUCCUGCGCGUGUGCGCGUGCGCAUGAUGUCCCCUUGACUGUUGCUUUUACGGACAGCGGCGCCUUGGUCUAUUCGAGGACGCAUGCUCAUGCAGUGCGGCUUUAGGCACCGUGUGCCCUGUGCGACUCGCCGCUUCUUUUUUCUCGCUUGUUGCGCUCGUGCCUCAGAUGGUCAACACAC